rnacentral:lncRNA from 1 species
AAAAAUAAUUUUAGAAAAAAUGGGUAAAAAUUUGGGUUAUGUGGGUAUUUUUGAAAGAAAAAUCAGAAACCAGAGGUUAAAACGUAAUUUAGAUAAAUUAUGGUACAUCAAAUGCCCGGUCAGCAGCCCCGACAAAUCAUGACGCGCCAAGUGGUAGAGGUGCUAACGCGGGGGGAGCCACGUGGGCAAUCCGCGUGCACGCGAUCGAACGGCUGAGGUCCAUUCCCACACGCAUGGACGGUCCAGAUUGAAUCGUGUACGGACGACUCAGAUUGAAUCGCGAUGAAUGGUC